rnacentral:rRNA from 1 species
UGCUGGAACGCGCUUCGGCGCACCCAGAAACCCUUUGUGAACUUAUACCUAUCUGUUGCCUCGGCGCAGGCCGGCCUCUUCACUGAGGCCCCCUGGAAACAGGGAGCAGCCCGCCGGCGGCCAACUAAACUCUUGUUUCUAUAGUGAAUCUCUGAGUAAAAAACAUAAAUGAAUCAAAACUUUCAACAACGGAUCUCUUGGUUCUGGCAUCGAUGAAGAACGCAGCGAAAUGCGAUAAGUAAUGUGAAUUGCAGAAUUCAGUGAAUCAUCGAAUCUUUGAACGCACAUUGCGCCCUCUGGUAUUCCGGAGGGCAUGCCUGUUCGAGCGUCAUUUCAACCCUCAAGCCUGGCUUGGUGAUGGGGCACUGCCUGUAAAAGGGCAGGCCCUGAAAUCUAGUGGCGAGCUCGCCAGGACCCCGAGCGUAGUAGUUAUAUCUCGCUUUGGAAGGCCCUGGCGGUGCCCUGCCGUUAAACCCCCAACUUCUGAAAAUUUGACCUCGGAUCAGGUAGGAAUACCCGCUGAACUUAAGCAUAUCAAUAAGCGGAGGAAAAGAAACCAACAGGGAUUGCCCUAGUAACGGCGAGUGAAGCGGCAACAGCUCAAAUUUGAAAUCUGGCUUCGGCCCGAGUUGUAAUUUGCAGAGGAUGCUUCUGGCGCGGUGCCUUCCGAGUUCCCUGGAACGGGACGCCACAGAGGGUGAGAGCCCCGUAUGGUCGGACACCAAGCCUGUGUGAAGCUCCUUCGACGAGUCGAGUAGUUUGGGGAAUGCUGCUCUAAAUAGGUAAAUCUCUUCUAAAGCUAAAUACUCG